UACGUAGGGUGCGAGCGUUAAUCGGAAUUACUGGGCGUAAAGCGUGCGCAGGCGGUUUUGUAAGCCAGAUGUGAAAUCCCCGGGCUUAACCUGGGAAUGGCAUUUGGGACUGCAAGGCUUGAGUGCGGCAGAGGAGACUGGAAUUCCCGGUGUAGCGGUGAAAUGCGCAGAUAUCGGGAGGAACACCAAUGGCGAAAGCAGGUCUCUGGACCAUUACUGACACUCAGCUGCGAAAGCUAGGGGAGCAAACAGG
rnacentral:rRNA from 1 species